UACAGAGGGUGCAAGCGUUAAUAGGAAUUACUGGGCGUAAAGCGUGCGUAGGUGGUUAGUUAAGUCAGGCGUGAAAUCCUGGGGCUCAACCUCAGAAUUGCGCUUGAGACUGACAGACUCGAGUGUGGUAGAGGAUAGUGGAAUUCCCGGUGUAGCGGUGAAAUGCGUAGAUAUCGGGAGGAACAUCAGUGGCGAAGGCGGCUAUCUGGACCAACACUGACACUGAGGUACGAAAUCGUGGGUAGCAAACAGG
rnacentral:rRNA from 1 species